UAACAGUUUCCUUUCUCCAUCUGUCCGAUAUCCAGAAUCUCCGCCAUUGAUUAGCAAUUUUACACGUUCAAAGGCAACUUGUACUUGGGUUGAAUCGAUAAAUUGGUAAAUUGAUGCGUAUGCGACAAGGUCGAUGUUUCAUUGAUCGUGUUCUUGGCCUUGUCGGCGAUGUUUAAGCGGAAGGAGCGGACUGUUCUUGAGCUCUAAAAUGUGACUUACACUCUUUCCGGACCCUAGGCAUG